UCUUGGGUCAUGGUUAGGAACAUUAUUUGGGAAGUGCUGAUUAGAAAUGAACACUAUGGCAUUUCUUCUUAAUGAACCUUUUCCUGUCUCCAUCUUCAGUUGUUGUUUUUUUGUAACGAAAGGAAAUAGCUAAGUCGUUAACUCAACACCAGAAACGUUCCUGUUACAGCCAAGUUUCCUGCCACUAAAUAAUUACAGGCUGCCGACUUUGAACUCUGCGAUGGAAAAGAGAGAUUCCACCAGGAAUGCAGAGAGCAGUUCGUGGCAUCCCAGAUGAAAAUUCUAAUCACAACAAGAAGAGCAGAUGUUGCUGAGCCAACUGACCAACAAUCAUGGUUAAAUUAGACACUCUUCUACCAUUACACAUUUGGGCUGCGCUUGCAAAAUUGUUUUGCCCCCAUUGUUGGAUAAAAGUUCAGAAAUGGGAAAGAGACAAAAGAGAACCACGAUCUGAAGAGUUCCAAAGACCACAAUCAGCCAUGCAUCACAAGCUCAAAGCCACUUUGUAGUGUGAAGGUCAACAUGAAACCAAAUGAUAAAGAUUUUU